GAAUACAACACUUACUGUUCUGUCAGGUCUCUGCAACAUGAUUCUUGCACUGAGAUGGAUAUAUUUAAGAGAGCAAAUAAGCAAACCCUCCUCCAAAGAGAAGUGAACAGGGGUUCCACAGCCCCAAGACCUGCAGCUGGACAUUCUUGCUUGCUGGGCUCAGCAUCGCUAUGGGCGUGAGCACCUUCUUCUCUUCCAACUGGGAGUUCUGGCUGUGUCCGACUGGAACCAACUCCUUGGCUCUUGUGAACUGAUGAUACACAGAGCUUGAAAAAUCUAAAACACCUUGUGAGUAGACACGCCAAUGUUAUGUUGAAAC